UAGGGAAUCUUCCGCAAUGGACGCAAGUCUGACGGAGCAACGCCGCGUGAGUGAAGAAGGAUUUCGGUUCGUAAAACUCUGUUGUUAGAGAAGAACAGCGCAUAGAGUAACUGUUAUGCGUGUGACGGUAUCUAACCAGAAAGCCACGGCUAACUACGUGCCAGCAGCCGCGGUAAUACGUAGGUGGCAAGCGUUGUCCGGAUUUAUUGGGCGUAAAGCGAGCGCAGGCGGUCAAUUAAGUCUGAUGUGAAAGCCCCCGGCUCAACCGGGGAGGGUCAUUGGAAACUGGUUGACUUGAGUGUAGAAGAGGAGAGUGGAAUUCCAUGUGUAGCGGUGAAAUGCGUAGAUAUAUGGAGGAACACCAGUGGCGAAGGCGACUCUCUGGUCUGUAACUGACGCUGAGGCUCGAAAGCGUGGGUAGCAAACAGG
rnacentral:rRNA from 1 species